UUUUGCUACCAGACCGAGCAGUGGAAGGAAACGCCGGCUUUGGUCGAACCAUCGCGUGACGCCGUGAUGUCAGGAGGGCGAGCAAAGCACCGGACCUGCCUGAGACCAACUGUUACUCUGCAUGGAGAUUCAGGUGGCUUCCAAAUGGAUAAAUCUACAAAGAAUAGCAUAAGGAGGUUCUUUUUUUUUUCUUCUUUUUCUUAAUGAAUAUGGAGGUAACCACUGGAGAGUUCAGGGAAAUUGUUAAAUACAGUUGCAUCUCGUGAAUGGGAGGGGUGAGAAAUAAUAGGAAAAAUAGAGCUGUAGUUUUUUAACGAUAAAUCAGUAUCACUAUUAACGAAGUUCUUAAUAUUAGACAUGCAUCAGUCUGAUAAAAAUUGAAACAAGAAUUUAUGCUACUCAGUGAGUUGGCUCACUCAAAUUCACAUUAAAAAAAAGGCGUGGAAAAUUUAAAGUUAGAAUCCAUUUCUCCAGAUCUUCUAGAAAUCUCCAGAUGAAUUUUUCUUUGAGCAGUUCAGGGAAUGAACGUUUUGGUGAGAUCCUUUGAUCCAACCACCCUGUGGGCACGGAGAACUCAAUGUCAAAUGCGAUCCCCAAGGUUGGCCUCCAAGGGAGGAAGAUUCCAAGGAUUCCAGUCUAAGCAGGUGAUGUUUGUGACAACGCGGAUCUGUCUUUCCCCCGGGAGAGGAGCACGUGUAGAGCGAGAUGCCUCCUGUUACCCUAAGAACCACCUCCCGUUCGCCGUCGUCUCCGAGACCUUGACGAACAGAGAAGUCCAGGGGUGGAUGUGAGCGUCCCCAGGAGGCCGGUGUCCCUCGGGCCUGAGCAGCCCGGUGGGCACCUCCUGGGAGCCCCUUUCCAGACAGCUCACAGCGGGAAGGGGAUUGUAGCUACGGCAAAACCAGCUCUGCGGCCAGGAGAAGGAGGGGCAGCCCUGCGCUCUGGGCAUUCGGAGUCCCCCUGAUUCUUUGAGGGAGCCCAUUGCCACGGAGGGGGGUAGCGGGCACGUCAGGAGCAAGACCAAGGCCGUGGAGCCGCCCGCUGGCACCCCGGGGCCUGCCAGGUGGGAGCACAGGUGCGGCGGCCGUGGGGCUGCGUCUCCAGGGACUUAACGCAGGACAGUGGCCUCUGCUGCCUCGGACCCCGCCACGGGCUGCGCGGGUGUGAGCGUGACAAGGGCCGCGAUGCUCAGCCCCCGGCGGCUGCGAUGACCUUGAGGCGCACCUGAGGACACUUGCUCCGUCGUGCUCACCCGCAGGCCUCCCUGUGCCCGUGCUCACGCGCAUCCCAUUUCCUCAGCCUGAGCAACACAGUCAAAGAGAACAGAGACUGUGCUUCUCGUUCUAAUACUUGUCUUUUCACGUCAACAGGAUGGAUUUUCCCAAAAAAAUCUGAGCUCCUACCAUGUGACCGAAAAUGAAGAAUAAAGUACCUGCGCCCCCAGCCCUUAAGGAAAUU
rnacentral:lncRNA from 12 species